CCUACGGGAGGCAGCAGUGAGGAAUAUUGGUCAAUGGCCGUAAGGCUGAACCAGCCAAGUAGCGUGAGGGAAGACUGCCCUAUGGGUUGUAAACCUCUUUUAUGAGGGGAUAAAGGUGUCCACGUGUGGAUGUUUGCAGGUCACUCAUGAAUAAGGACCGGCUAAUUCCGUGCCAGCAGCCGCGGUAAUACGGAAGGUCCGGGCGUUAUCCGGAUUUAUUGGGUUUAAAGGGCGCGUAGGCCGGUCUUUAAGCUUGCCGUGAAAUUAUGUGGCUCAACGUGGAUAGUGCGGCGCAUACUGGAGACCUUGCGUGCGCGGAAGGCAGGCGGAAUGCGUGGUGUAGCGGUGAAAGGCUUAGAUAUCACGAAGAACCCCGAUUGCGAAGGCAGCCUGCCGCAGCGUUACUGACGUUGAAGCUCGAAAGCGCGGAUAUCGAACAGGAUUAGAUACCCUAGUAGUC
rnacentral:rRNA from 1 species